ACAGGAAGUUGUUCUCACCGCUGCAGCAGUGACACAGGAAGUUGUUCUCACCACUGCAGGUGCAGAAAACAAGCCUGAUACUCAUGACAGCCUAUGAGGGGCCAGGCACUGACUGAGCUAACAACCUGCGGAGCUGAGAGCUGGGAGCUCCAAAAACGCCAGCAGGGAAGAAGCAGUGGGACCAAAGCAACCCCUUCCUGCAUGUGCCUCCAAAAGAGACCUUUCCUUUUCUAAUAGAUGGUGUCUCGCUCUGUUGCCCGGCUGGAGUGCAGUGGCACCAUCUCAGCUCACUGCAAGCUCCGCCUCCUGGGUUCACGCCAUUCUCCUGCCUCAGCCUCCUGAGUAGCUGGGACUACAGGCGCCCGCCACCAUGCCCGGCUAAUUUUUGUAUUUUUAGUAGAGAUGGGGUUUCAGAAUGUUUGCCAGGAUGGUCUUGGUCUCUUGACCUUGUGAUCCGCGUGCCUCCCAAAGUGCUGGGAUUACAGGCAUGAGCCACUGCACCUGGCCUAUCUCCCCUUUCUAGUACUUAAAUGCUUUUUUCACUUUCUCAACCAAGGGAGUCACUUUGGUUUUCCUGCCUUUGGAAGACGUAAAAAUGAGAAUUCCAUACCUAUGGCAUAAAGUGUAUGGCAUAAAUUUGAA
rnacentral:lncRNA from 10 species